CGAAACCACAAAGCCUCCUGGGAAGGGAGAAGGCGAGGGAAGAGAGGCCUUGUUUCUGCGACAGUAAAGGGAGAGCUCCGAACGUGGCGGUCUUUUAUUUCUGGGUGCAACUCGGCCGGCCCCCCCUCUGCUGCACCUGUCAAAUAUUCAGGCAAUCUCGCCAUUAUAAGGAAGGAGGGGCUUGACUUCAUCUCUGCCUUCCCAGCGUUUCCAUGGGAACAGUAGCAAGCUGGAGGAGCAUAUUCUGAAUUUCACAGCCUGCCACAAAGCUGCUCUGCUUCACCUAGGCAGACGCAGCCUGGAUCCUCUGCAAGAAAGAGGGACAGGCUUUGUCCUUAAGCACCCUGAGAUGAAAUCACUUGCGCACAAACUGAGACUGAGAAAUGAGGACAGCUGGGCAGGGUUCAUUUGCUAAGCUGACUACAUGAGAUGUUUCCCUAGAAUCUCCAUAUUUUAAAUAAUUCACAUUUGUUUGUGUGCAUUUAAAAAAAAGGGGUUGUUGUU